GACGAACGCUGGCGGCGUGCUUAACACAUGCAAGUCGAACGGGAAGGCCCUGCUGUUGUUGGAUGCUCGGGUGGCGAACGGGUGAGUAACACGUGAGUAACCUGCCGUUGACUUUGGGUUAACGUCAGGAAGCUGGGGCUAAUACCGGAUAGGUGCUCCUGCUGCAUGGUGGGGGUUGGAAAGUUUCGGCGGGUGGGGGUGGACUCGCGUCUUCUCAGCUUGUUGGUGGGUUAGUGGCUUACCAAGGCAUUGACGGGUAGCCGGCCUGAGAGGGUGACCGGGCACAUUGGGACAGAGAUCCGGCCGAGACUAAUACGGGAGGCAGUAGGGGGGAAUAUUGCACAAUGGGCGGAAGAAUGAUGCAGCAAAGCCGCGUGCGGGAUGACGGCCUGCGGGUUGGAAACCGAUCUCGCUUGCGACGAAGCGUGAGUGACGGUAAUGGGUACAGAAGCACCGGCUAACUACGUG
rnacentral:rRNA from 1 species